rnacentral:rRNA from 1 species
UACGUAGGGUGCGAGCGUUGUCCGGAAUCAUUGGGCGUAAAGGGCGCGUAGGUGGCGGGACAAGCGUGCGGUGAAAGCUCGGGGCUCAACCCCGCGCGGCCGUGCGAACUGUUUUGCUUGAGCACUGUAGAGGCAGGCGGAAUUCCGGGUGUAGCGGUGGAAUGCGUAGAGAAUCCGGAAGAACACCGGUGGCGAAGGCGGCCUGCUGG